CGUGAGCAAUCUGCCCUUGACUCUGGGAUAACUGCGGGAAACUGUAGCUAAUACCGGAUACGACACCUUGGGGCAUCCCAGGGUGUGGAAAGAAUUUCGGUCAAGGAUGAGCUCGCGGCCUAUCAGCUAGUUGGUGAGGUAAUGGCUCACCAAGGCGACGACGGGUAGCCGGCCUGAGAGGGUGACCGGCCACACUGGAACUGAGACACGGUCCAGACUCCUACGGGAGGCAGCAGUGGGGAAUAUUGCACAAUGGGCGAAAGCCUGAUGCAGCAACGCCGCGUGAGGGAUGAAGGCCUUCGGGUUGUAAACCUCUUUUAGCAGGGAAGAAGCGAAAGUGACGGUACCUGCAGAAAAAGCACCGGCUAACUACGUGCCAGCAGCCGUGGUAAUACGUAGGGUGCAAGCGUUGUCCGGAAUUAUUGGGCGUAAAGAGCUCGUAGGCGGUUUGUCGCGUCUGCUGUGAAAAUCCGAGGCUCAACCUCGGACCUGCAGUGGGUACGGGCAAGCUAGAGUGCGGUAGGGGAGAUGGGAAUUCCUGGUGUAGCGGUGGAAUGCGCAGAUAUCAGGAGGAACACCAAUGGCGAAGGCACAUCUCUGGGCCGUAACUGACGCUGAGGAGCGAAAGCGUGGGGAGCGAACAGGAUUAGAUACCCUGGUAGUCCACGCCGUAAACGUUGGGCGCUAGAUGUGGGUCACAUUCCACGUGAUCCGUGUCGC
rnacentral:rRNA from 1 species